AAACUAAAGAUGGCGACCGGCGCACGGGUGAGUAACACGUAUCCAACCUGCCGAUAACUCGGGGAUAGCCUUUCGAAAGAAAGAUUAAUAUCCGAUAGUAUAUUUUCUCCGCAUGGCGAGAAUAUUAAAGAAUUUCGGUUAUCGAUGGGGAUGCGUUCCAUUAGUUUGUUGGCGGGGUAACGGCCCACCAAGACUACGAUGGAUAGGGGUUCUGAGAGGAAGGUCCCCCACAUUGGAACUGAGACACGGUCCAA
rnacentral:rRNA from 1 species